GCCGGUGUAGCUCAGUGGUUGAGCACUGAGCUAGGAACCAAGAGGCCACCAGUUCGAUUCCUGGUCAGGGCA
rnacentral:tRNA from 1 species